CUGACGCGUCUUGAUUUUAAGGUUUGGUGCGGUGGAUCCAGAUGGCCUCCAUCAAUUUCCUCUUCCGCCAAUUGCUGAUGUUGACGGCCAAAAUGUC